rnacentral:rRNA from 1 species
AGCGAACGCUGGCGGCAGGCUUAACACAUGCAAGUCGAACGGGCACUUCGGUGCUAGUGGCAGACGGGUGAGUAACACGUGGGAACGUACCUUUCGGUUCGGAAUAAUUCAGGGAAACUUGGACUAAUACCGGAUACGCCCUUCGGGGGAAAGAUUUAUCGCCGAUAGAUCGGCCCGCGUCUGAUUAGCUAGUUGGUGAGGUAAUGGCUCACCAAGGCGACGAUCAGUAGCUGGUCUGAGAGGAUGAUCAGCCACACUGGGACUGAGACACGGCCCAAACUCCUACGGGAGGCAGCAGUGGGGAAUAUUGGACAAUGGGCGCAAGCCUGAUCCAGCCAUGCCGCGUGAGUGAUGAAGGCCUUAGGGUUGUAAAGCUCUUUUGUCCGGGAAGAUAAUGACUGUACCGGAAGAAUAAGCCCCGGCUAACUUCGUGCCAGCCGCCGCAGUAAAAC